AUUGAACGCUGGCGGCAGGCCUAACACAUGCAGUCGAACGAGUGGCGGACGGGUGGGUAAUGUUUGGGAAACUGCCUGGUGGAGGGGGAUAACUACCGGAAACGGUAGCUAAUACCGCCUACCAUUAGAUGUUCCCAGAUGGGAUUAGCUAGUUGGUGGGGUAACGGCGCACCAAGGGGACGAUCCCCAGCUGGUCUGAGAGGAUGACCAGCCACACUGGAACUGAGACACGGUCCAGACUCCUACGGGAGGCAGCAGUGGGGAAUAUUGCACAAUGGGCGCAAGCCUGAUGCAGCCAUGCCGCGUGUAUGAAGAAGGCCUUCGGGUUGUAAAGUACUUUCAGCGGGGAGGCGUUACCCGCAGAAGAAGCACCGGCUAACUCCGUGCCAGCAGCCGCGGUAAUUC
rnacentral:rRNA from 1 species